UUUUACAUUUGACAGCAGAGAUAAAUUUGGAUCCGGAUAAAUAUGUUAUAAGUAAACAUUUACCAUCACGAAAAGGGAGAUCAUGGUGAUACCAAAAGUAGUACAUGUCUAGCAGUUAAAGGUUUAGAGACAGAAGCUUUAUAUAUUUGAAGGACAUGGGACAAAGACAUGGCUGCAAAUAAAUACAAACCCAAGGUAUAGGGUUUGAGAAAAAGAAAACAUGAUUUGAUGGGGUUUUCAUGGUAUAGAACCUUGAUCAUGAAGAUGAAUUUGAUGGGCUGAACAAUCAUUGCUCAGUGUAUUUUAAAACGAAAAGGGUAGACUGCAGCGGGGCCUUAAUAUGUAUGUUGGGCUAUAACGGGCUAUAAUCAAAGGUUUCUGAUUGGUCUGGUUAUUUACGAUUUUCAUUAAAAAAAUGACAAUGGCAUUUGGCUGUAAAUAACUUGAAAAAGCAGGGGCAAAAACCUAUUAGUGGAUAAACAAAUUACAGGAUAGAAAAUCUGGAAACUGGUGGCUAAGUUUAAACAAUGAACUAGUAGGAUAUUGGACGGAGGAAUUAUUUACGACCUUAGCUGAUCAUGCAGAGUCCAUAGAAUGGGCUGGCGAAAUCAUCAACUCACAGAGUUUCAGCCGAGACACGAAGACCCAGAUGGGUUCUGGCCACUUCCCUGAUGAAGGCUUCGGGAAAAGCGGCUAUUUUCGCAACUUGGAAGUUGUCUAUGACAACAACAGUCUCCAAUCAAUCCAAAACUUGAAGGCAAUAACAACAAAUCCAGAAUGCUACAAAAUCAAAGAUCUUCGUACAAGAGAAUGGGGGCACUCAUUUCUUCUUCGGAGGCCCGGGGUUUGGCCAAACGGCGGGAUUCAGGGGCCGUUUCUUCGGCAUUGAGAUUUGGUUUUUUAUAUCUUUUUGAGCUUAUUUGCUAUUAUCGUUUAGUAUCUGUCUUUUUAUAUUUUAACUAUGUUGUAAAAGAAAAAAACUUAUGAGUGGGUUUUGCAUUCUACAUUUGUGCUUCUUAAUAA